UUCUCCGCUUUUGUUUCUCCUCCUUUAAUCUUUUGCAUCCAUCCGGUUUUUGUUUCUCCUCCAUUAUUCUUUUGCGUCCAUCCAUAUUUUGUUUCACGUCAAUAUUCUAUUUUUUUCCUUUUUGUCUAAUUUUUUGUGCUUUGAUUUUUAGGACAGUCUAACGAUGGUGCUGAAAGUUACGAGGCUUUGCCCAUGGAAGAGUUGAGAUAGGAUACUAAAGAAUAGAGGCUAACGGUGGUGUUGAAGGUUACGGCACUUUGCCCAUGCAAGGGUUGCAACAAUAGGACUUGAGAAGGUGGAAAAACACAUUAACGUUGCGAUAUUUAUCUCAAAAACUUCAUGGGUUCAGAGAAGGUGGAAAAACACAUUAAAGUUGCAAUUUUUAUCUCAAAAACUUCAUGGGUUCAGAGAAGGUGGAAGAAUACACUGAAGCUGCCAUUUUUUACUUCAAAAAGCUUCCAUUUUUAUCUGAUUUUAUGUCAAAAGGUUUGUCUCCUUUGUUUCUCUGUCUACAUGUUCAUUUUCUUUGUUUUUUUGUUUUUCCAUCUUCCUUUUUCGUUCCUCUCCAUUCAUCUUCCUUCAUAUUCUGUUUUGUUUGUUUCUCCAACUUCCAUUUUCGUUCGUCUUCAUUCCACUUCAUAUUCCGUUUUACUCCAAUUUUUGUUUUAGUUCCAUUUUUGUUUAUCUCGCUACAUGUUAAUUGUUUUUUAUGAAUCGUUAUUUUAUGUAGAGAAGGUGGAAUGAGACAAUAAAGCUGCCAUUUUUAACUCCAAAAACCUUCGAUUUUUAUCUCAAACAGGAUUCUUUUCUUUGUUUCUCUAUCUACAAGUUCGUUUUCUUUAUUUGUUUUCUUUAUAUUUCGUUUGACUUUUCUUUUCGUUUUGGUUCCAUUUUUGUUUAUGUCAUUGCAUGUUGAUUGUUUUUCAUGAAUCAGUGUUUUAUGCAGACAAGGUUGAAGAAGACAUUAUACCUAUCAUUUUUCCAACAAAUAUUACACUAAGUAACAUAAUAUUAUCAUUAUCUUCAUAUCCUAACGUAAUAUUCUCAUUAAUUUGAAGAUCAUGACCAUUU